AUUGAACGCUGGCGGCAUGCUUUACACAUGCAAGUCGAACGGUAACAGGUUAAGCUGACGAGUGGCGAACGGGUGAGUAAUGCAUCGGAACGUGCCCGGUCGUGGGGGAUAACGCAGCGAAAGCUGCGCUAAUACCGCAUACGAUCUGAGGAUGAAAGCGGGGGACCGUAAGGCCUCGCGCGAUCGGAGCGGCCGAUGUCAGAUUAGGUAGUUGGUGGGGUAAAAGGCUCACCAAGCCGACGAUCUGUAGCUGGUCUGAGAGGACGACCAGCCACACUGGGACUGAGACACGGCCCAGACUCCUACGGGAGGCAGCAGUGGGGAAUUUGGACAAUGGGGGCAACCCUGAUCCAGCCAUGCCGCGUGAGUGAAGAAGGCCUUCGGGUUGUAAAGCUCUUUCGGCCGGGAAAAAAUCGCAUCAGUUAAUACCUGGUGUGGAUGAUGGUACCACCAGAAGAAGCCCCGGCUAACUCCGUG
rnacentral:rRNA from 1 species